rnacentral:rRNA from 1 species
UACGAAGGGGGGCUAGCGUUGCUCGGAAUCACUGGGCGUAAAGGGUGCGUAGGCGGGUCUUAAGUCAGGGGUGAAAUCCUGGAGCUCAACUCCAGAACUGCCUUUGAUACUGAAGAUCUUGAGUUCGGGAGAGGUGAGUGGAACUGCGAGUGUAGAGGUGAAAUUCGUAGAUAUUCGCAAGAACACCAGUGGCGAAGGCGGCUCACUGGCCCGAUACUGACGCUGAUGCACGAAAGCGUGGGGAGCAAACAGG